rnacentral:rRNA from 1 species
AGUGAACGCUGGCGGUAGGCCUAACACAUGCAAGUCGAACGGCAGCACAGUACGAGCUUGCUCUUCUGGGUGGCGAGUGGCGGACGGGUGAGGAAUACAUCGGAAUCUACUUUUUCGUGGGGGAUAACGUAGGGAAACUUACGCUAAUACCGCAUACGCCCUACGGGUGAAAGCAGGGGAUCUUCGGACCUUGGGCGAUUGAAUGGGCUGAUGUCGGAUUAGCUAGUUGGCGGGGCAGUGGCCCACCAAGGCGAUGAUCGGUAGCUGGACUGAGUGGGUGAGAGGCGACACUGGGACUGAGAGAAGGCACCGAUUGGGACGGGAGGAAGCAGUGGGGAAUCUUGAACCAUGCGCGGAAGCCUGAUGAAGAAACGCUGCGUGUGGGAUAGCGGUCUUCGGGUUGUAAAAAGCCAUCGGGUGAGACGAAGGGUGAGUGACCGUAACGGGUAGAGAAGGCACGGCCAAAUACGUG